GCAAGAUGACAGCAGUAAACAUGUCUAUUGAGUCACUUUGUAGGCUGCUGAGUUUGUUGUGCAGUGAACAGAACUAGACUUGGCGAAAGUAGGAAAUAGUCGAAAAGAAUUGCAAGAAUGUUUCUAAAGAAGGCAAAUACAAGUUGAAUCAAUACGUAGAAAAUAUGAAUAACAAAAGUCAAGUGGUGGUACUACAGGAUAGAAUGGUUCGAAAGAUGAGUUAAAAAGUGAACAUUGUAUGUAAAUAAUGUCUUUCUGGUUGGGUUCAAACCCUGCUUUCCGUCCUGCCAUGUGGUCCAGUUACGAAUGAAAGCUAGAAACGUCUACAAAAUUCUUCUACAAAGUUCUAUCAAGCCAACUGUGGAAAAUCUGAAAGAGUAACAUCAGCUACCAAGUAAAUUUAAAGCAGUACUCUUUGCUAACAGUCUCUGUACUCCAAUAUAGUUGUGAAAGUUGGACACUGAACGCUGAGACUGAAAGAAGAAUCCAAGCCUUUGAGAGUCAAUGCUACAGACAAAUGCUGGGUAUCAGAUACCAGGAAAUGAAAACAAAUGCAUUUGUACAUCACUCUGGCUGGCUGAAGGCUGUGAAGAGACAAACGCUGAGCCGCUUAGACCCUAGUGUCAAAAGUCAUCCUUCAAGGUCCAGUGGAGAGAGCACGAAGAAAAGAUCGUCCAAAGAAAAGCUGGACAACGUCAAAGAAUGGACCGGCCUCUCUUCUGAUAUCCUGAAACAGCUGCUGAUCAGGGAAAAAUGGCGGGAUAUAGUUACGCCACAGGACCCCUAGGACGAAAGUCGAGGAAUAGAUGAGAUGAUGAGAUCUCGAGCAAACAAGAUGCUUAAACUUGUGUGAUGUUAAGAAUCCCAAGAUUUGGUUUUGUAGCAUUUAGACCUAUUAGAGCCUCAGUUGUUGUUGUUUUGUCAGACUUAUGCAAGUCCAAUUGAUCAGCAUUCUGAGAAAGAGUUCCAAGUCAAUGCAACUUCUAGAACAAAUCUUUCUGAAUGCAAUAAUAAAAAGACCAAGGCAGUUGUCUGGGCUAGUUCAAUUCAGUUCUCUUCAUUCAAGUGAAUAAGCUUUGUUCCGGUUAUAUUUUAUUUAUAACCGUAAUUUAAAAUUCAUUUCGACAUUUGGAUUUAUGUUGUUUUUCUAAGGAUUGAGUUUUAGGAUUCAAACUUCACCCAGCAAACAUAUAAACGUGCUUUACUUCCUCGACAAAUACAAGUACGAUUUCUGCGUUAAUUGAGUUUGAAUGUAUCGAGUACACCUAAAACUAACAACCUUUAACAAAGAAAGUUGAAAUUCUAUAGUGACUAGUAACAAUGUUGAAAUGCUAUAAUGACAAUCAAUAAAGAAUGUUGAAAUUGUAUUAUGAUCAUCAACAAAGAAUGCUGAGAUCUUACAAUGACCAUCAAAAAAAGAAUCCCAAGAUCUUACAAUGACUAUCCACAAAGAAUGUUGAACUCAUUAAUGACCAGUACCCUAUUUUGUAUAAAAUUGACUUACAUCUGCAAAAGCGUUGAGAAUGAUCAACAUUGAUUACAUGCCCAUGAUCAGAGAUCGUCUCUUGAAGGCCAUUUGUGGUAUUAGCUGUGCUGUAAAGGUAUUGGGUAAAUGAACUCUGACCUCGUUGCUCGUACUUACAGACGGAACUACUGGUCAAGCCUCCCUUCAUUCCAACAAACUACGGUGUUACUCACCUGCAUGUGUACAGAUCUACUAAACUAUGGUGUUACCCACCUGCAUGUGUACAGAUCUACUAAACUAUGGUGUUACCCACCUGCAUGUGUACAGAUCUACUAAACUAUGGUGUUACCCACCUGCAUGUGUACAGAUCCACUAAACUACGGUGUUGCUCACCUGCAUGUGUACAGAUCUACUAAACUAUGGUGUUACCCACCUGCAUGUGUACAGAUCCACUAAACUACGGUGUUACUCACCUGCAUGUGUACACAUCUAC